GACGAGUCUCACGAACGUUAUUCGGAAUUACUGGGCUUAAAGGGUGUGUAGGCGGUGGAGUAAGUCGGAUGUGAAAUACCUUAGCUUAACUAGGGAACUGCACUCGAUACUACUUUGCUAGAGUAAGACAGAGGUGAGUGGAACUGAGGGUGGAGCGGUGAAAUGCGUUGAUAUCCUCAGGAACGCCGGUGGCGAAAGCGACACACUGGGUCUUAACUGACGCUGAGGCACGAAAGCCAGGGGAGCGAACGGG
rnacentral:rRNA from 1 species